rnacentral:rRNA from 1 species
UACGUAGGGGGCAAGCGUUGUCCGGAAUUAUUGGGCGUAAAGCGCGUGUAGGCGGCUUUGCAAGUCCGUUGUGAAAGCCCUGGGCUCAACCUGGGAACUGCAGUGGAUACUGAGAAGCUAGAGUGUGUCAGAGGAUGGUGGAAUUCCCGGUGUAGCGGUGAAAUGCGUAGAGAUCGGGAGGAACAUCAGUGGCGAAGGCGGCCAUCUGGGACAACACUGACGCUGAGGCACGAAAGCGUGGGGAGCAAACAGG